AUUGAACGCUGGCGGCAGGCCUAACACAUUCAAGUCGAGCGGAGCGUCGGACGGGUGCGUAAUGGCUAGGAAUCUGCGUGGUAGACGGGGAUGACGUCCGGGAAGCGGCGCUAAUACCGCAUACUAUCAGAUGAGCCUAGGUCGGAUUAGCUAGUUGGUAGGGUAAAGGCCUACCAAGGCCACGAUCCGUAACUGGUCUGAGAGUGUGAGCAGUCACACUUGAGCUGAGACACUGUCCAGACUCUUACGGGAGGCAGCAGUGGGGAAUAUUGGACAAUGGGCGAAAGCCUGAUCCAGCCAUGCCGCGUGUGUGAAGAAGGUCUUCGGAUUGUAAAGCACUUUGAGUUGGGCGGCGUUACCAACAGAAUACGCACCGGCUAACUUCGUGCCAGCCGCCGCGGUAAUAC
rnacentral:rRNA from 1 species